rnacentral:misc_RNA from 1 species
ACUAGAGCAAAAUAAAAUACAAUUAAGACAACAGGAAAACCAAUGGGAAGGAAAGGAACAACAAAAUUAAAUGGAAAAAUGUUUCUUACUUGCAUUAAAAUGUAGAAACAAGACUAACCAUUUAAUUCAAAAAAUUAGAGCUGCGUUUGCUCUUUGAUCAAAGAAUCUUAUAAAGAGCAAAGAUGAACAGGACAAAGCAAAAUAAAAUGUAAUCAAGACAACAGGAAAACCAAAGGAAAGGAAAGGAACAACAAAAUUAAAUGGAAAAAUGUUUCUUACUUGCAUUAAAAUGUAGAAACAAGACUAACCAUUUAAUUCAAAAAAUUAGAGCUGCGUUUGCUCUUUGAUCAAAGAAUCUUAUAAAGAGCAAAGAUGAACAGGACAAAGCAAAAUAAAAUGUAAUCAAGACAACAGGAAAACCAAAGGA